rnacentral:tRNA from 1 species
GCCCGUUUAGCUCAGUGGUAGAGCGCGCCGCUCGUAACGGUGAGGUCGGUUGUUCAAUCCAGCCAGCGGGCA